rfam:Triticum aestivum genome assembly, contig: Triticum_aestivum_CS42_TGACv1_scaffold_576950_7BL
AUAGUACUCCCUCCGUCCGUAAAUACUUGUCGGAGAAAUGAAUGUAUGUAGACGUAUUUUAGUUCUAGAUACAUCCAUUUUUAUCAAUUUCUCUGACAAGUUUUUUCGGACGGAGGGAGUAUAUA